CAAACUACCUAGAGAACAGUCUCUCCAGGUCAGGGCGUGACAUUAAGUAAAGUUUCGCAACAGAAUCGGGCUGCUGGUCUGGUUCUCUCCUCUGUACAAGGACAAGGUCACAUAUUUUUUCCGGCUCUUCACAGUGCACAGCACUGAACAGCUCGAUCUUUAGCGCAAUGAACUAUUUGUUCGGAUGGAGAAGGCUUGCCAGACUGACAUUCAACCUGCUAUAUUUUGUCAUUGAUGGAUCCGAAAGAUCGAGCUGCAACGCGACAGUCACCUGCUCCUGCCACUAGCCUUGUCCCUGUCCAAUGCAUAGAGAGGGACAGCAGAGGCAACCUAAUUCACCAAAGACCUGGACAAAAAUGGUCUAAGAAGGCCUCAAGACAUGUCACAGCGGAGGACAUGGACCUUAACGGAACAGGUGACCAUAAUGCAGCUAAUGGCGGGGGUGAGUAUUGCCCUAAGAGCUUGACCCCGGGGCAUGGGUGUCAAUAUCGUUCCACAGAGGGCCAAGUGUCAGCGGGUUUUCGGUUUUUCCUUUAAAUUAAGACCUAGACAACCAGGUGAGGGAAUUUCCUUACUAAUUUGUGACCUUAAUUCAUCCAUCAAGUACAAGGGUGGAGCGAAAACCUACAAACACUCUGCUCUCCGUGGACAGAGUUCGACACCCAUGCCCCAGGGCAUCUGACCCUAAAGCAGGGUUUCCCAACCUUAUUUAAUUAGUUACAGUUCAUAUAAG